rnacentral:tRNA from 1 species
GCCUUCGUGGUGUAGUGUUCAGCACACUGGGCAUGUAUUCCAGAGAUCCGGGGUUCGAGUCCUGACGAAGGCG